AACGAACGCUGGCGGCAGGCCUAACACAUGCAAGUCGAGCGAGGUAGCAAUACCUAGCGGCGGACGGGUGAGUAACGCGUGGGAACGUACCCUUUGCUACGGAAUAGCCCCCGGGAAACUGGGAGUAAUACCGUAUGUGCCCUUCGGGGGAAAGAUUUAUCGGCAAAGGAUCGGCCCGCGUUGGAUUAGGUAGUUGGUGGGGUAAUGGCCUACCAAGCCGACGAUCCAUAGCUGGUUUGAGAGGAUGAUCAGCCACACUGGGACUGAGACACGGCCCAGACUCCUACGGGAGGCAGCAGUGGGGAAUAUUGGACAAUGGGCGCAAGCCUGAUCCAGCAAUGCCGCGUGUGUGAAGAAGGCCUGCGGGUUGUAAAGCACUUUCAGUGGGAAGGAACAAGAUUCGGGUCGAAUACCCCGGACG
rnacentral:rRNA from 1 species